AUGAUUCAGGAGACAGAAGAUGAAUUCAUGCUCUUCAUUCACAUACUCAACAAACAAAUAUCAUUGAACACAUCCUGUGUGCAAAGCACUAUUUGGGACAGGGUGCCACAGCAGCAAACAAGUGAUGUGCUGGUGUACGUAUAUUUGCAACGAGCCAGCAAAAAUACAAAACGAAGCAGAAACCCAAUAGAAGCAGAAGUGUCAAAGCAGAAAAAAGAAAAAAAGUCAAAGAAACAAAUCAGAGAAAUAUAGGUAGCCAUGCAUGUAAAAUAUUUAACGUGUGAAGUUUGCCUCUUCCUGUUCCUGCAAACCAAAUAGUUGUAAGGAGAAUAAAAUGAGGACCAGGAAGAGCGCA
rnacentral:lncRNA from 1 species